rnacentral:tRNA from 1 species
CAAAAGAUAGUUUAAUAAAAUAAUAAUUUUGGAGAUUAUAGAUAAAUAAAUAAUUAUUUUCUUUUGA